AGCUUUGAACUUUCGGAAACCACUGCUAAAGAAAGGCAACAAGCAGAAGAGACUUGUUUGAUUGAGAACAAUGGCGUACUCAAGAAGUUCUGCCCGUCUCACCUGGUGUCCAGCGAAUCCAAAAUGAACAUCAGUUGCUUAGUGUACAGCCAUGACGGCUCAGAGCUGAUCGCGAGUUAUAAUGACGAGGACAUUUAUCUGUUCGACUCGAGUCACAGCGACGGCGCAGAUUACCGCCAGAGAUACAAAGGAC